GUGCUUAAAUUUGCAGAACAUAAACAAAAACUGAAACAAUACAGAGAAGAUUAGCAUGACACCUGCUCUUGGAUGACAUGUGAAUUUGUGAGGCAUUCCUUAA